rnacentral:lncRNA from 1 species
AAUUGGAAAGCGAUCUCACGGUUACUGGAGAUUUUUGAAAACUCCAGCAAAGUCACUGACUCACACACGUGUGUACAGCAGAGGAGGAACGACAGUAGUACUUCUUGGCUUUCAGCUGUCAGGUGGAGAAGAUCCUUUCAGAUAAAAUCACAGAAAAUUUUCAUAAGGCUUUGCAGUCCUAUGAUCCUAAGCAUACUGGAACUAUUAAAAGAAGUCAUCUAAGAAAAGUCCUACAGCUGUGUUGUUCCUCUUUGUCAGAUCAACAGUUUAUGAAGUUAUGCUAUAAAUACAAGAAUAACUCCUCUGAUGGAAUCUUUUACAAGAUGCUUUUGGAUAACUUAAAAGUUGCUAUUCUUUCUGGUGACUUAAAUGGUAUCAGCUCACAUAUAUCAAAGGAAAAACAACAAAGAGAAGAAAAAAGGCAAACAGAGCUUUCAAAAAGAGAUACAUUCAGAAUUGUACAACACUGAAAGCAUUGCAUCAGGAGAGCAAACACACAUGGAUCAUUCAUCAAAGACUCUAGGAUUCAGAAUCAAGCAGAUUGAAGAUCAAACUAACAAAUACGCCCAGGAUAGAACUGUUGAUGAAGUAGUUAAAAGGUUGAAGGACAGAGUGAUACAAGAGGCAGCCACUACUAAAGACAGCUUUUUUACCUACAACAAGUAUGAGAAAAUUAAUAAAGCUGGCUUGCAGAAGAUGAAAGUGCUAGUAGUUGAGGCUGUAGUCACCAACGUUACUAUUGUGACUGAUUCUCUCCAGCUUUGA